CGUGUAGGCGGCCAUGCAAGUCGGGUGUGAAAGCCCUCGGCUUAACCGAGGAAAUGCGCCCGAAACUACAUGGCUUGAGUACCGGAGAGGGUGGCGGAAUUCCCGGUGUAGAGGUGAAAUUCGUAGAUAUCGGGAGGAACACCAGCGGCGAAGGCGGCCACCUGGACGGAUACUGACGCUGAGACGCGAAAGCGUGGGGAGCAAACAGGAUUAGAUACCCUGGUAGUCCACGCCGUAAACGAUGAGCGCUAGGUGUUGUGGGUGUUGACCCCUGCAGUGCCGCAGCUAACGCAUUAAGCGCUCCGCCUGGGAAGUACGGCCGCAAGGCUAAA
rnacentral:rRNA from 1 species